rnacentral:rRNA from 1 species
UCCGUAGGGUGCGAGCGUUAAUCGGAAUUACUGGGCGUAAAGCGUGCGCAGGCGGUUUUGUAAGCCAGAUGUGAAAUCCCCGGGCUUAACCUGGGAAUGGCAUUUGGGACUGCAAGGCUGGAGUGCGGCAGAGGAGACUGGAAUUCCUGGUGUAGCAGUGAAAUGCGUAGAUAUCAGGAGGAAUACCGAUGGCGAAGGCAGGUCUCUGGGCUGACACUGACGCUCAUGCACGAAAGCGUGGGGAGCAAACAGG